rnacentral:rRNA from 1 species
UGCGGGAAACUGUAGCUAAUACCGGAUAUGAGGCUCUGAGGCAUCUCAGAGCUUGGAAAGAAUUUCGGUGAAGGAUGGGCUCGCGGCCUAUCAGCUUGUUGGUGAGGUAAAGGCUCACCAAGGCGACGACGGGUAGCCGGCCUGAGAGGGUGACCGGCCACACUGGAACUGAGACACGGUCCAGACUCCUACGGGAGGCAGCAGUGGGGAAUAUUGCACAAUGGGCGCAAGCCUGAUGCAGCAACGCCGCGUGAGGGAUGAAGGCCUUCGGGUUGUAAACCUCUUUUAGCAGGGAAGAAGCGAAAGUGACGGUACCUGCAGAAAAAGCACCGGCUAACUACGUGCCAGCAGCCGCGGUAAUACGUAGGGUGCAAGCGUUGUCCGGAAUUAUUGGGCGUAAAGAGCUCGUAGGCGGUUUGUCGCGUCUGCUGUGAAAACCAGAAGCUCAACUUCUGGCCUGCAGUGGGUACGGGCAAACUAGAGUGCGGUAGGGGAGAACGGAAUUCCUGGUGUAGCGGUGGAAUGCGCAGAUAUCAGGAGGAACACCGAUGGCGAAGGCAGUUCUCUGGGCCGUUACUGACGCUGAGGAGCGAAAGCGUGGGGAGCGAACAGGAUUAGAUACCCUGGUAGUCCACGCCGUAAACGGUGGGUGCUAGCUGUGGGCCACAUUCCACGUGGUCCGUGACGAAGUUAACACAUUAAGCACCCCGCCUGGGGAGUACGGCCGCAAGGCUAAAACUCAAAGGAAUUGACGGGGGCCCGCACAAGCGGCGGAGCAUGCGGAUUAAUUCGAUGCAACGCGAAGAACCUUACCAAGGCUUGACAUAUAGAGGAAAAGUACAGAAAUGUACUCCCCGUAAGGUCUCUAUACAGGUGGUGCAUGGUUGUCGUCAGCUCGUGUCGUGAGAU